rnacentral:rRNA from 1 species
GAUGAACGCUGGCGGCGUGCCUAAUACAUGCAAGUCGAGCGAACAGACGAGGAGCUUGCUCCUCUGACGUUAGCGGUGGACGGGUGAGUAACACGUGGAUAACCUACCUAUAAGACUGGGAUAACUUCGGGAAACCGGAGCUAAUACCGGAUAACAUGUUGAACCGCAUGGUUCAACAGUGAAAGACGGUCUUGCUGUCACUUAUAGAUGGAUCCGCGCCGCAUUAGCUAGUUGGUAAGGUAACGGCUUACCAAGGCAACGAUGCGUAGCCGACCUGAGAGGGAGAUCGGCCACACUUGAACUGAGACGAGGUCCAGACUACUACGGGAGGCAGCAGUAGGGAAUCUUCCGCAAUGAGCGAAAGCCUGACGGAGCAACGCCGCGUGAGUGAAGAAGGUCUUCGGAUCGUAAAACUCUGUUAUUAGGGAAGAACAAAUGUGUAAGUAACUAUGCACGUCUUGACGGUACCUAAUCAGAAAGCCACGGCUAACUACGUGCCAGCCGCCGCCGUAA